UAUGGUCAUAUCACGUUGAAACACCGGAUCUCGUACAAUCACCAAAGUUAAGCAACGUCGAGUCUGUUUGGUACCUAGAUGGGUAACCACUUGUGAAUACUGUAAGCUGUA